rnacentral:lncRNA from 10 species
GGUGUUUUCUCUGCCUAACUGGCUUCACUCCUUAACCCACGCUCCUGGACCUGCAGACACCGGUAUUGGCAACCCUUGUGUCUCUGGGCACUACCCUGAAGAGGCCUUCAAGGAAAUGAAGCUGACUGUGACGGCUGACUUCUGCAAUAUAUUUCUGAGAGGAUAAAAUUAUACUAACGAGCCAUUCUGUUGAGUAGAAAUCGAAGCUUCCUGGAGCUUCUCAAUGAUAAGCUCAAACAGUGAAUGUCACAAUACUAUAAUUGUCUUGGGUGAUGUAAAGAUACAAGGGCCAGUUAUACAUAAGACCAAUUGUUCCUCUCUUUGCUCUGAUCUGUUUGGCCCAUUCUAUAUCAUGUAUAUAUCUGGGUCACAUGUCCAAAUGAAGGUAGGUUUUAUCCACAUUUAUAAAUGAUUAUGAGUUUACCAAAACUCAAAAUAAGAAAAUGUUGCUGCGAGAAAUGGUCUAAAAAAUUGGCUGAAUUAUGAAAUUUGUACUUAUUUGAAAUACCAUUUCCUACUGACAUUUCCCUUCCGGCUGCCUUGGCAUUAAUGUAAGAAUUAUUUAUGACUCAGCAUUUCCCCACAACAGCUGCCCACAGGGCAGAGCAUGAACUGAAGAAAAGAAAAGAACCAUGCUGACUUUACUGUUUGAGCUCCAGCCCUCCUGGCUGAGGGGAGGCAGCCUGCUCUCAGGGGGUAGGGCAGGGAACAGGAGUCACUGGUGCUGACUGGGGUUCAAAUCCUGACUCUGGGAUGUACCAGGAAAGACAACAUCUGAAAAUUCUGCCUGAUAGAUAGAGAGAAGCAUCCUGGCAAGAGACACGGAGCUGACAGACGAAGAGAUGCACGUCUGACAGAAUUGGGACUAUUCACCCAAAGUGAGACAAAGUGAAAUGCCAAGCACAUUGAGAAUCUCUUCCUUCUUACUGUCAACGGAUUCACCUAAUCAAAGCACUUUUAGUCACUGCAUCCAAUUUCCAUCCUCAUCCAACACAUGGUGGGGUCUUUUUCUCGUUUCUUCUGAGUUGACACACACAAAACCCAAGAGUCCCACUUUUGGCGAGGAACGUGUUGCUGUCAGCUUGCAUUUGUUACCGCACAUUGGUUCCCCGUGUCCCAGUAAUGACCCCCUGUAAAGGCCACUGGGCAAGAGAAUUGCAAGAUCGAGCGAGGCGGCGGGAAUUACAGGAAAGGAUUAACGGCAGAACAGCCUGUUGCGACAGCGAAAAACAGCCCGAGGACAGGGGCGUGCUCCCAUCUGACAGGCGGAAGUGUGCCAGGGUUUAUGUAUUAGGUCACAGCAAGAAAGCUAUUUUUGCUGUGCCCUCUGACCUUCUGUAGAAGAACAAGAAAAGAUGAUGUAGAUACUGCUGGUUUGGACUGGCUCAGAGAGAAAAGAAACAAAUAGAUGGGAGUACGUGCCAAGGGUCACUGAUGCUUCCAGAGGGCAGUGGCCUCGGCUGUCUUACUCAAGGCUGAAUUCUUAGCCCCUACAAGACUCAUGCCUGGCAUGUAACAAGUGCACAGCCAGUUUUCCUCCAAUGAAUGAGGGGCUUUCUCAGAAUAAAGUUUUUGUAAUCAGAGACCAAGACAGCCACUGAUUCUCUGCAGCCUUGAAGUCUGUCUUUUCUGAAUAUCCAGACAGAGGACAAGUCUUGAUUAUAACGAUCAUUAGCCUAGAGUACUGCCCAGUUCUGAACUCAAGGAUAAGAAUCCCCUCCAAGCUCCUGCCAGGCUGUCUCCACACUCUGACAUCACAUCCUGCCUCUUUGAUUAGGUUUCACAGUGAAUUUUGCCCCUCCCAAACACACUUUGUUAAUCUUUUUUAGGUCUGGGAAUUCAGCCAAAAAUUCCUGAAGGAUGAAUUCCUUUUCCUCGGUGAGGUUGACAUUUGAGCACACAUCGCCCUCUUGUGUCUACGACACAUUUGGCAACGUAGUUUCCAGCACCUGCUAAUGCACACAGCAAAUUGAAGCCUUGUUAACAUCCCUUAAGCCUGCAGACCUCGGUACAAGGCGGAGGGAGAACAAACGCACCAAUUUUCCCAGAAUAGUCAAGAACAUCCAGAAGAAUCCAGAAUUUGUGAAGAUGGUACUGGUAACUACCCAACCCAGAGCUUUGAAAGUUAAAAAAUGUAUAAGGUACCAUAAAAUUCAUAUUCAAGAGCUCACAGUCAGAAAAUGUUUACCUUCUAAAAGAGCUGGACAUUUUCCAUAAACCGAAAGUUGGACUAUACAGUAGAUACAUGAAGAUGUCCUCCUAGCAUUUUCAUAUUUGACCUAUUGACUUUUGAAUCACCAUUCAUAUCCUCUUUGAUGUUGCCCAUCCACACACCCACACCCACAUAAGCCAUGUGUGUAAAUAUGCCCAUCUGCAGGUUUUCUGUUCUUAAUGACAAUUUCAGACUGCUCGGCUUGCUCCUACACCUUCUUAUGGAGAUACAAGAACUUUGGAUCUCUGGCCCCCCUCAGUCCUCGCUCCUCCAUCCCUGUAAGCAGGUGCAAGGCGUGUUUCUGGCACAGUCCACCAAACUCCUGAAUCUGAAGCUCCCACAGUCACUGACCCAAGUGUGGCCUGGAUGAGACUGGUGGCCCAAGCCUCUAUUAUGCUGUUUUUUUUGUUGUUGUUGUUAUUUGUUUGUUUGUUUUGAAAUGGAGUCUUGCUCUGUCACCCAGGCUGGAGGCCAGUGGCGCAAUCUCGGCUCACUGCAGCCUCUGCCUCCAGGGUUCAAGCAAUUCUCCUGCCUCAGCCUCCCUAGUAGCUGGGACUACAGGCGUGCGCCACCACACUCGGCUAAUUUUUGUAUUGUUUGUAGAGACGGGGUUUCACCAUGUUGGCCAGGAUGGUCUUGAUCUCCUGACCUCAUGAUCCGCCCGCCUUGGCCUCCCAAAGUGCUGGGAUUUCAGGCAUGAGCCACCAUGCCCAGCCUUAUACUGGUUUUUACAGCAAAGAGACUAGAAUAAAAGAUACUUUCACAUUGACACUAUAAAAAUCGUCCUUUGAACACUUAGUUAUGUAUUGUUCUGGGUUAGGUAGUAUAGAUAAAGACAUACUUUGCCCAGUAGGAAGGGACUCCCUUCAUCUACGUACAUUUUAUGCCUCUAUCUCUCAUACAGGUGGACCUUACCUUCCGAAAACUGCUAUCAGGGCCUCUGCAGGAGGCCCUGGCUGUGAUAAAUGUGCAUCUGUAGAGUGCACAACCUGAACAUCCUUACCAAGCAGCCCUGACCAAUAUCUUCCUGCCUAAAGAGUGCCAAUGCUGAGAGUAUGCCUUUAAAACCCCAUUUUGGCCAUUUCUCAAGAAGUAAGUGAGACUUGUACUUCCCUAUCUCCCCUUAAGGGGAGUCCCCAGUGCAUUAGUGGUAGAGCUCUCCCUAAGGACUUUUGUGUGCGUCUCCACCCUCUGUUCUUCUAGGUGCAUCCUGUUUUUAAUGGGGCAUAAUCUCUUACCUCAAAAGAGCAAAGCUCCACUGGCAAACCUCUAGACCACAUUAGUGAUCAGCAAGUAAGGGGGACAUUUGGUGCAGCAUCACAUUUCUGACAUCCCUUCAUGCUUUUUAUGUCUGACUCUGUCAUCUCUGCUAAAAGAAGCCUCUCUUUUUAUUUCCUUUUUUUCUUCUAGUUUUUUUUUUUGUUUUUUUUUUUUUUUUGUAGACAGGGCCUAGUGGUCUUCCUAGGCUGGUCUCAAACUUCUGGACUCAAGGGAUAUUCCCACCUCAGCCUCCCAAACUGUUGGGAUUACAGGCGUGAGCCAU